CCACAGAAAGCAAAUCCAACUCAUCUUCAUAGUCCACAAUUUUGAAAGUCUUGGGGAAUAGAUGGAUAAGGUAGAGGAAUAGAGGGGCAAAAUCUAGUUAUUCAGUUAGGAUUAUUUCCACAUUUGUAGUUUAUUCUAUUACUUAUAAAAAUAUGUACAAAGAAGAAUGAAUGGGUGGAAGCAUAGGUAGAAAUGUAUUUCUACUUAUAUGCUCAAUAAAACAUCAGUUUUUCAAGAUUUUCAAGACUUAAGCAGUAUCCUACAGAUUUUGACAAACAGAACCAAAGCUUGUCCAGAUUCAAAAGAGGUAUUCAACUGCUGCCUCUGACGUUGUGUUCACUGGUUCCCAGAUAGGACUAAAUAUAUGAAUCUCAGUUCUGAAACCUGAAGACUUCCCACUGUGCUCAGAAAGUUCUUACAUCAGAAAAACACAAGUUGUUUCAAGAAGUGAUAGCCCAUCAUAUAUUCUUUAUGACUCUUAUUUGCCAUCCUUUUUUUUCCUUUAAACUCUUUUUGGUUCCCUAAAGAAAGCAAAAAUGGCUGCUUUUACUUGAGGGAGAAUAUCAGGAACUGAAAUCCAACUCACAGAACAAGACUGGGAUAAGAGAUGUUAGCUGGAAAUGAUUAAUGAUGGUAAAGACUUAAGAGAGA